UACCCAGCCCUGAAUUCACCGAAAUUUA
rnacentral:rRNA from 1 species